GCCCCAAAUGAGAAAGCAGCCAGCUGACACCUGGAUUUCGGCCCACAGCGGAUGCCGCCAAACCUCGCUGUGCCUGGAAUCCACCCACGAAGCAGCACGAUAAUAAACAUGGAUGGUUUUGAGCUGUCAGCAGCAAGAUGGAGCUAACGCACGUAACUCUGAAGGCGAAUGAGUGUGUUACGGGAAACUGUGCUGGAGAUGCCUCUGCAGAAACCCCCGACCGUCUGCAGCCGCGGAGCAUGCUGACCACGGGAGGCUGGCGCAUCGCCUCACUGUCUGGCAGCAACACACUCGAUAAAUAAAAGCUGUGCGUGCCCCUUG